AUGCGUGGGGAUGUGAGCGGAAGCAGCAUGGCGGAGAUGGCGACGGCGGCAGUGUUGAUGGGUAAGGCGGAGAUGUCGCUUGAUAACUCAGUUUUCGGUAAAUUUAAAAGUAUCAGUUUAUCUUCUUAUCUUAAGGGUACACUUAAUGCAACCCCUCCUACUCCUUCUCCCGCUCCAUCUCCAGAGCCAACAAUUCCUCCAUAUCCUGCUUCUCCAGUUCACUCUCAAGCACCCUCACCUGACACAGUAAUCAUCUCCCACCAGCACUAUCCAAGAACUGUAAGUUUUGAUAUGGAAAUGGGUUUUCUGUGCAACCUUGAAUUUGUAGAUUUGGUUGUGUUGGCCCCUGUUAGGCUUGAAGUGAUGGGAAAGAAGGCAAAGAAUGCAACCAACAUUUCUGGAAAUGAGGCUGGGAAAAUUUCCAAAGAGAUUUAGAAAGUGGAGAAGAGAAGGAAUGUUAAGAGUACUCUUUGCAAUGAAAUAAGUUCUCAGAGCCAUUGCAUGAUAAUCCUUGAUGUCCCAACAGUAGGAGGACGCUUGAUGCUUGUGGACAUGGCUGGCUCUGACAAUAUUGAGCAAGCUGAUACUGUAUGCAGCACUUUCAUUGUCAUUGUAACGUACAAAUGUUAAAUUAUGGUUAUACUGAAUUCACAGACUGCAAAGAUCAACCAAGGAAACAUAGCUCUCAAAAGAGUGGUUGAAUCCAUUGCCAAUGGUGAUUCUCAUGUGCCUUUCAGAGACAGCAAACUGACCAUGCUUCUACAGGAUUCUUUCGAAGAUGAUAAAACAAAAAUUUUAAUGGUACCGUGUGCAAGCCCAGACCCAGAGGAAAUACACAAGACAAUCUCCACCCUUGAAUAUGGUGCAAAAGCAAAAUGUAUUGUCCGUGGUCCUCAUAUGCUAAUCAAGGAUAAAAUUGGGACUGAAGAUUCAUCUGCUGUUAUUUUAGGAUCAAGGAUUGCUGCCAUGGAUGAAUUCAUCCUUAAACUGCAAAGGGAAAAUAAGCUCAAAGAGAAAGAGUGAAAUGAAGCACACAGGGAGUUACAGAAGAAAGAAGAGGUUGCUGCACUGAGAGCUAAACUUGAGCUUAUGGAAGGGACUGGAUCUGGGAAAAAGGAGGAAGAAAUCAACUUGAAGGUGACUGACCGUGAGUUGGAAAAGAAGUUGGAGGAAUGCCAGCGUAUGGCAAAUGAGUUUGUUGAAUUGGAGAGGAGGAGAAUGGAAGAAAGGAUAUUGCAGCAGCAGCAGGAAGCUGAAAUGCUGAGGCGGCGGUUGGAGGAAAUUGAGCUUGAGCUAUGCCGCUCAGGUGAUGGAUAUGGUAAGGAGAGUGGGACAAAGGACCAUGAUGGAACCCAGUUUGCCAAAAGGUUGUUAGGGAUCUAUGCCAGUGAUGAUGCAGGAGGAAUGGUAAAGUCAAUGGAUUUGGACAUGGGUGAUCAAGAACCUUUUGCUCGUGAGGUGAAAUAUGUAGGUGGGGUUGCUUAUCAAUCUGACAGCAGUAUUGUGAAUGCUGUAAACAUUGAUUCUUUUGAACCAAAAUAUGCUGAUAGGGUAUGCCUAAGCACUGUUUUUGAGGAAGAAUAAAUGGAAGAGGAAGGACUUAAGGAAAAUGUGGAAGCUGAAGAAGUGGAGAAAGAAGUUAUAGAGGAAAAGAGAGUGUGCAUGGUUGAUGGGUCUAGCCUCCAGAGUAAUUAUAAUAUGGGAUCCCUGACAUCUUUACCUAAGGAUUAUCAAGAUACACCAACUGUAUGAAUCGGCCAAGCGGAAAUCCAGGGGAAGAAGAUGGCAAGGGGGGACCAGAUGAUAGGCUUGUCAGGAUCCGCAACAUAUUUACACUCUGUGGAAACUACAGAGAGCUCUCUCAACGUGUGACAACUCCAGCACCUACUGUUGCAUCAAUUAAAUCAGAAACUGACAGAAGAGGUAAACAAAAGUCCAGUAUGUGAUGAGAUGGCAUUGGCUGCCAAGGAGAACUACAACCCUUCACUGAUGCAGAUACUGAAGUGUAUGUGAAAUGGGAGGCUUCAAAAGAGAAUCCAGGGAAGUUCAUUACAACACUUAGGGUUGUAAAAGAUGCAAGCCUUGCUGACCUGCGAAAGUUGAUUGCAAUUUAUUUUGGUGCAGACAAUCAAGCAUUCACUUUUCUCAUGCUUGGGGACCCCACUGGAGCUUCAGUACCAAAGGAGAAGGAAGCAACAAUUCAGGCCACUAAGCUUCCUCUAUGCAACAAUAAAUCAAAUGGCUACCUUGCUAGCUUGAGACCACUGAAGGGAAUGCAAAGCCCAAGUCAGCUCCCUUUAAUUCCUCUCCCAUUGAAAUCACUGGAAAAUAGACUACCA